ACGGGAGGCAGCAGUGGGGAAUAUUGGGCAAUGGGGGAAACCCUGACCCAGCAACGCCGCGUGGAGGAAGAAGGUUUUCGGAUCGUAAACUCCUGUCCUUGGUGAAGAGCAGAAGACGGUAGCCAAGGAGGAAGCCCCGGCUAACUACGUGCCAGCAGCCGCGGUAAUACGUAGGGGGCAAGCGUUGUCCGGAAUGAUUGGGCGUAAAGGGCGCGUAGGCGGCCCGGUAAGUCUGGAGUGAAAGUCCUGCUUUCAAGGUGGGAAUUGCUUUGGAGACUGUCGGGCUUGAGUGCGGAAGAGGUAAGUGGAAUUCCCAGUGUAGCGGUGAAAUGCGUAGAGAUUGGGAGGAACACCAGUGGCGAAGGCGACUUACUGGGCCGUAACUGACGCUGAGGCGCGAAAGCGUGGGGAGCGAACAGGAUUAGAUACCCUGGUA
rnacentral:rRNA from 1 species